rnacentral:rRNA from 1 species
AGAGGGUGCAAGCGUUAAUCGGAAUUACUGGGCGUAAAGCGCGCGUAGGUGGUUUGUUAAGUUGGAUGUGAAAGCCCCGGGCUCAACCUGGGAACUGCAUCCAAAACUGGCAAGCUAGAGUAUGGUAGAGGGUGGUGGAAUUUCCUGUGUAGCGGUGAAAUGCGUAGAUAUAGGAAGGAACACCAGUGGCGAAGGCGACCACCUGGACUGAUACUGACACUGAGGUGCGAAAGCGUGGGGAGCAAAC